rnacentral:rRNA from 1 species
UACGGAGGGGGCUAGCGUUGUUCGGAUUCACUGGGCGUAAAGGGUGCGUAGGUGGCAUGGUAAGUUUGAUGUGAAAGCUCAGGGCUCAACCCUGAAAUGGCAUUGAAUACUACUGUGCUGGAGGUUUGGAGGGGGGACUGGAAUUCUUGGUGUAGCAGUGAAAUGCGUAGAUAUCAAGAGGAACACCAGUGGCGAAGGCGAGUCCCUGGACAACACCUGACACUGAGGCACGAAAGCCGGGGGAGCAAACAGG